UUGCUGGUUAAAUUACUGAGGUGAUCAGGUCGCGUGAUUGCUACAGCGCGGCUGUUUUUCUUUCCUUUGCUCCAGCCGUGGUGAGGAGACGCGUGAGUGCAUCCGCCGUGCAGUACGGCGCCUCCAAGUUCUGGGGGUUUGAUUGCUGCCGUGCCCUCUCGGGGACCAACCGCCUGCUUUGGCUACGUAGAGAGUCGGGCACCUGCCCUGCUGCUGUCUUGUUUUGUUGACUUUGUUACAUUACAGUUAAUCUGCGGCGGCCCAGUUUUCCCUUGUAGCUUGCUUUCCCACGCCCUUUUGGACUAUUGUUCGCUCCAGCUUUUGUGGCUGGCCGGGGCGAUUCUCGGCCGUAUACUGGGCCGGUUAUACGAACUGGUACUGCCUUUCCCCUUCCUCCCAGCUGUGGGAAGUUGUGUGAGACCGAGCAGACCAAGGAUAAUCGGACCCAGCACCAGCUGUGGGCUGGUUCGCCGAGUGAAACGAACUGAGGAUCUACCAGCUUCCGUGGGACCUUAGGUGGCGGGUCGUUUUCCACACUUCUUUUGUUGUACAGCACCAGGUGAAUAGACUAUAGUAGGUUUUUUUUUGUGUGGUUUUCUUUUGGUCCACCGCUGCUGGUAAGUCCCAGUUGUAUUUAUUUUUAUUGUAAUUUGGGACACCGUUUUAGAUAUUCAGUGCGCUGUUGUUUUGUUUUUCAUUUUACAUUAAUAAAUAAAAUUGUGUUUAUAUUUGA